rnacentral:tRNA from 1 species
GGGGUUGUGGUUCAGUGGUAGAGUACUUGCCUAGCAUGCAUGAGGCACUAGGUUUGAUCCUCAACACCA